rnacentral:rRNA from 1 species
CCUACUCUCGUGAGAGUAGCUGAAGGUACUAUACGAAUAAGCACCGGCUAACUCCGUGCCAGCAGCCGCGGUAAUACGGAGGGUGCAAGCGUUAUCCGGAUUUAUUGGGUUUAAAGGGUCCGUAGGCGGAUCUGUAAGUCAGUGGUGAAAUCUCAUAGCUUAACUAUGAAACUGCCAUUGAUACUGCAGGUCUUGAGUAAAGUAGAAGUGGCUGGAAUAAGUAGUGUAGCGGUGAAAUGCAUAGAUAUUACUUAGAACACCAAUUGCGAAGGCAGGUCACUAUGUUUUAACUGACGCUGAUGGACGAAAGCGUGGGGAGCGAACAGGAUUAGAUACCCUGGUAGUCCACGCCGUAAACGAUGCUAACUCGUUUUUGGGUCUUUACGAUUCAGAGACUAAGCGAAAGUGAUAAGUUAGCCACCUGGGGAGUACGUUCGCAAGAAUGAAACUCAAAGGAAUUGACGGGGGCCCGCACAAGCGGUGGAUUAUGUGGUUUAAUUCGAUGAUACGCGAGGAACCUUACCAAGGCUUAAAUGGGAAUUGACAGGUUUAGAAAUAGACUUUUCUUCGGACAAUUUUCAAGGUGCUGCAUGGUUGUCGUCAGCUCGUGCCGUGAGGUGUUAGGUUAAGUCCUGCAACGAGCGCAACCCCUGUCACUAGUUGCCAUCAUUCAGUUGGGGACUCUAGUGAGACUGCCUACGCAAGUAGAGAGGAAGGUGGGGAUGACGUCAAAUCAUCACGGCCCUUACGCCUUGGGCCACACACGUAAUACAAUGGCCAGUACAGAGGGCAGCUACCAGGCGACUGGAUGCGAAUCUCGAAAGCUGGUCUCAGUUCGGAUUGGAGUCUGCAACUCGACUCUAUGAAGCUGGAAUCGCUAGUAAUCGCAUAUCAGCCAUGAUGCGGUGAAUACGUUCCCGGGCCUUGUACACACCGCCCGUCAAGCCAUGGAAGUUUGGGGUACCUGAAGUCGGUGACCGUAACAGGAG